CAGCUCUCCGAGUGGUAGGGAUGAUUAUUGGGCUUAAAGCGUCCGUAGCCGGCUUAGCAAGUCUCCUGUUAAAUUCAGCGACCUAAUCGUUGAGCCGCGGGAGAUACUACUAGGCUAGGAGGCGGGAGAGGUCGACGGUACUUCUGGGGUAGGGGUGAAAUCCUAUAAUCCCAGGAGGACCACCAGUGGCGAAGGCUGUCGACUAGAACGCGCUCGACGGUGAGGGACGAAAGCUGGGGGAGCGAACCGGAUUAGAUACCCGAGUAGUCC
rnacentral:rRNA from 1 species